UUGAAUUUUAAUGAAGAGUUUGGUUGUAGCUGGCCCAUUCAUUUGGGCAUGUGCACACCUUCCUCUUUCAUCCCACACACACCUGUGAACCUGUGAGACAGAGAUGGGGAAUUUACUUGCCUGCUUUUUGGAAUACAAAGGCCAAUAGGUUUAUUGGACCCCCCCUCUGUCUACUCAAUUAAUAUAAACUCAAUUUAUUUUAAAACGAAUGUAAUGGAUGUAACACAUCUCAUAC
rnacentral:misc_RNA from 1 species